ACAACUUUCAACAACGGAUCUCUUGGCUCUCGCAUCGAUGAAGAACGCAGCGAAAUGCGAUAAGUAAUGUGAAUUGCAGAAUUCAGUGAAUCAUCGAAUCUUUGAACGCACCUUGCGCUCCUUGGUAUUCCGAGGAGCAUGCCUGUUUGAGUGUCAGUAA
rnacentral:rRNA from 1 species